AUUCAAAUGAUGAGAAAGAAUAUUUAACUGGACCACCAUAAGGGCAGCCAUUCAUCCAGGGCUCACUCUGAGGUUUCAGAAGACCCUGAUUGCUUCAGAGAAAAUGCAGACAUACAGACAAUGCAGACAAGAAGAUCCAAAGCUCCGUCAUCACGCCACGGCGCCAUAUUUUACAAAGACUGGAGAACGGGAAGGAAGAGGAGAAAAAAAGGAGGGAAAAAAAGAUAAUAGAAGAUGA
rnacentral:lncRNA from 1 species